GACGAACGCUGGCGGCGUGCCUAACACACGCAAGUCGAGCUCGAAAGUCUUCGGAUGAGUAAAGCGGCGGACGGGUGAGUAAUGCAUGGGAAUCUGCCUGGUAGUGGGGGACAACGUUUCGAAAGAGACGCUAAUACCGCAUACGCCCUACGGGGGAAAGGGGGGGAUCUUCGGACCUCUCGCUAGCAGAUGAGCCCAUGUCAGAUUAGCUAGGUGGUAGGGUAAAGGCCUACCAAGGCGACGAUCUGUAACUGGUCUGAGAGGACGAUCAGUCAAUCGGGAACUGAGACACGGUCCAGACGCCUACGGGAGGCAGCAGUGGGGAAUAUUGGACAAUGGGGGAAACCCUGAUCCAGCCAUGCCGCGUGUGUGAAGAAGGCCCUAGGGUUGUAAAGCACUUUCAGUGGGGAGAAAGGUUAUUCACCUAAUACGUGAGUAAAUUGAUGCUACCCACAGAAGAAGCACCGGCUAACUCCGUGCCAGCAGCCGCCGUAA
rnacentral:rRNA from 1 species